rnacentral:tRNA from 1 species
GAAGUAGUAGUUUAAUAAAAUGUCAAGUUGCAAUCUUGAAGUUAGGAGUUCCUCUACUUUU